UACGCCCACAUCACGUUGAAACACCAGUCUCCGUACGAUCACCGAAGUUAAGCAAUGUCGAGCCUGAUCACUACCUAGAUGAAUGACCACUUGGGAAUACCAGGGGCUGUAAG